AUUGAACGCUGGCGGAAUGCUUUACACAUGCAAGUCGAACGGCAGCACGGACUUCGGUCUGGUGGCGAGUGGCGAACGGGUGAGUAAUGUAUCGGAACGUGCCCAGUCGUGGGGGACAACGUAGUGAAAAUUACGCUAAUACCGCGUAUGAUCUAUGGAUGAAAGCGGGGGAUCGCAAGACCUCGCGCGAUUGGAGCGGCCGAUAUCAGAUUAGGUAGUUGGUGGGGUAAAGGCCCACCAAGCCAACGAUCUGUAGCUGGUCUGAGAGGACGACCAGCCACACUGGAACUGAGACACGGUCCAGACUCCUACGGGAGUCAGCAGUGGGGAAUUUUGGACAAUGGGCGAAAGCCUGAUCCAGCCAUUCCGCGUGCAGGAUGAAGGCCCUCGGGUUGUAAACUGCUUUUGUACAGAACGAAAAGGUUUCUACUAAUACUAGGAGCUCAUGACGGUACUGUAAGAAUAAGCACCGGCUAACUACGUGCCAGCCGCCGCAGUAA
rnacentral:rRNA from 1 species